AUCGUUCAACUCAUUAGAGUCGGAAGUAGGCGAUUGCCGAAGGAACGCACC
ncrna:unclassified sequences Glutamine riboswitch